UUAGCACAAUUUUAUAUAUCAUUAAUAAAGUUAUAUUAAAAGAAGGGUUAAACAAAAUGUUGAAAUUCUGAAAAUUAAAGAAUUAGUGUUCUAGCGGCGAGAAAGAACACAGUGAGAGAGAAUCAGAUCAUAGACGGUGGCUAACACGACGGCGGAGACUAGAUGGACGCCAAUUCUUGCUGGAGAGAAAAAAUCCAACUUUGAUUACCGUCAAAUCGAAUCGCUUGCGAACGGUGGUGUUGGGGAAGCCGGUGGCACGAGCAGAGAUCUGAUCUUCGGUGAGGCUAUUGUUGAUCGGUCGAUCCCACAACCACGAUUUGGGUCCUGUGACGACUGAUGAGGAGGUCUAGUUCAGCAGCGAUAGGGUCUAAUACCACCGCCACGCAGCGCCGGACAUGGAAGGUUGCGACUCCUAGGCCUGAGAUUGUGGGACGAAAGAGAGUGGUGAUGAUAUUUUCCAAGCAGCUUGGUGCACACUUGUUCUGAUUUAAAACUCAAGAUCUCCGUGUGUGGCUUUAUAUGUGCUGUCACACAUUCCAUUUUGGUGAAGAAGAUUUUCAAGAAAGGGAAACUUGAUGAUGCUGAAGCUUAUAUUUAUGCUUUUGCUCCCAAUGAUCAUGCUGGAUGCGCUUCUGGUUUAGGUAUUUUGGUCGAUGCUCUAUGUUCCAAAUAAAAAUUUCAGGAAGCUACUAAGUUGUUAGAUGAUAUCAAAGUGGUGGCGGUGGUGCAGAGAUGGCGGAGAAGGUGACUGAGAGACAUAGUGAAAGUAUAAUGAAAGCUAGCUUCUUUGGUUUUGAGUUUCUUAGGUAGUUUGUUUGAUCUUGUUGUUGUAUAUUGAAGGCUAACUUCUUUGCUAUGUAACUAUGUUUUCACUGAUAAAUAUAUAAGAAGGAUAUGAAUCAAACAUUCAGGAA